GUGGUAACACACACUGGAGGACCGAACCGACUAGUGUUGCAAAAUUAGCGGAUGAGCUGUGGAUAGGGGUGAAAGGCUAAACAAAUCUGGAGAUAGCUGGUUCUCCCCGAAAACUAUUGAGGUAGUGCCUCGUGUAUGACUCCAGGGGGUAGAGCACUGUUAUGGCUAGGGGGACAUGGCGUCUUACCAAACCAUGGCAAACUCCGAAUACUUGGAAGUUUGAGCACGGGAGACAGAGCACCGGGUGCUAACGUCCGGACUCAAAAGGGAAACAACCCAGACCGCCGGCUAAGGUCCCUAAUAUUGACUAAGUGGAAAACGAAGUGGGAAGGCUAAGACAGUCAGGAAGUUGGCUUAGAAGCAGCCAUCCUUCAAAGAAAGCGUAAUAGCUCACUGAUCGAGUCUUCCUGCGCGGAAGAUGUAACGGGGCUAAGUCAAUAACCGAAGCCGCGGAUGCACAGCAAUGUGCGUGGUAGGGGAGCGUUCCGUAAGCCUGCGAAGGUGACUUGCAAAGGUUGCUGGAGGUAUCGGAAGUGCGAAUGCUGACAUGAGUAACGUUAAAGCGGGUGAAAAGCCCGCUCGCCGUAAGCCCAAGGUUUCCUGCUCUACGUUCAUCGGAGCAGGGUGAGUCGGCCCCUAAGGCGAGGCUGAGAAGCGUAGCUGAUGGGAACAAGGUUAAUAUUCCUUGACCGCCGCCAAGUGCGAAGGGGGGACGGAGUAUUGAAGAUCAUCCGGGUGUUGGAAGUCCCGGUUUCCGAGCGUAGGAAGUCGACAGGCAAAUCCGUCGACGAAUUUCCGAGGCGAAGGAUCGAGGUUCUACGGAACCGAAGUGAUUGGAUGUGCUUCCAGGAAAAGCCUCUAAGCUCCAGCUUGGCGGGACCGUACCGCAAACCGACACUGGUGGGCGAGCUGAAUAUGCUCAGGCGCUUGAGAGAACUCAGGAGAAGGAACUCGGCAAAUUGACACCGUAACUUCGGGAUAAGGUGUGCCUUGGUAGCGUGAAGGAAGAAACAUCCGGAGCGUGAAGAGGUCUCAGAGAAUCGGUGGCUGCGACUGUUUACUAAAAACACAGCACUCUGCAAAGACGAAAGUCGACGUAUAGGGUGUGAUGCCUGCCCGGUGCUGGAAGAUUAAUUGAUGGGGUGCAAGCUCCUGAUCGAAGUCCCAGUAAACGGCGGCCGUAACUAUAACGGUCCUAAGGUAGCGAAAUUCCUUGUCGGGCAAGUUCCGACCUGCACGAAUGGCAUAACGAUGGCCACACUGUCUCCUCCUGAGACUCAGUGAAGUUGAAGUGUUUGUGAUGAUGCAAUCUCCCCGCGGCUAGACGGAAAGACCCCAUGAACCUUUACUGUAGCUUUGCAUUGGACUUUGAACCGAUCUGUGUAGGAUAGGCGGGAGACUGUGAAGCGAGGACGCCAGUUCUCGCGGAGUCGUCCUUGAAAUACCGCCCUGAUUUGUUUGAGGUUCUAACCUAGGUCAGUCAUCCUGAUCGGGGACCGUGCAUGGUAGGCAGUUUGACUGGGGCGGUCUCCUCCUAAAGGGUAACGGAGGAGUGCGAAGGUACGCUAGGUACGGUCGGAAAUCGUGCUGAUAGUGCAAUGGCAAAAGCGUGCUUGACUGCGAGACCGACAAGUCGAGCAGAUACGAAAGUAGGUCAUAGUGAUCCGGUGGCUCUGUAUGGAAGGGCCAUCGCUCAACGGAUAAAAGGUACUCUGGGGAUAACAGGCUGAUACCGCCCAAGAGUUCAUAUCGACGGCGGUGUUUGGCACCUCGAUGUCGGCUCAUCUCAUCCUGGGGCUGUAGCCGGUCCCAAGGGUAUGGCUGUUCGCCAUUUAAAGAGGUACGUGAGCUGGGUUUAAAACGUCGUGAGACAGUUUUGUCCCUAUCUGCCGUGGGCGUUGGAAGAUUGACGGGGGCUGCUCCUAGUACGAGAGGACCGGAGUGGACUGACCUCUGGUGUACCGGUUGUCACGCCAGUGGCAUCGCCGGGUAGCUAUGUCGGGAAGAGAUAACCGCUGAAAGCAUCUAAGCGGGAAACUUGCCUGAAGAUAAGUCUUCCUGGAGGCUUGACCUCCCUGAAGAGUCGUUCGAGACCAGGACGUUGAUAGGUUGGGUGUGUAAGCGCUGUGAGGCGUUGAGCUAACCAAUACUAAUUGCUCGUGCAGCUUGAUCCU
rnacentral:rRNA from 1 species